rnacentral:lncRNA from 1 species
GCCGUCCUAAGUCAGAACCCCGUAUCUACAUUUUUUUUUAAAUUGAGUUAUCAGCAAAAGUGAACUGGUAGUGGUUUUUUUCUUAUCUGUAAAUCCCGUUAAUCUGUUAAACCCCGUAAUUUUCAUUUAAAAUUGAGUAAAAUUGAAAAAAUAAUACACCGUAACUGCAUAAAAUAGCCAACAUCCUAAGCAAAAAACUGGCAUCCUAGAAUUCCUUAGAUAGAACCUGACAAAUGCACGGCGCGGGCGAGUAGUUCCGUGGUUAUUUCUAAGCAUUAUGCACAUGCCAGGUUUUUCCUAAGCUUCGGUCUUGAUACGGAUGUAGCUGCCAGGUUUUAACUAGGCAAUUACAACAAAAUUCGCGGGAGUCUAGAAAUAUUUAUUUAAUUCUAAUCAGGCAGGCAUGUGCGUUAAUUGUGAUUUUAUGUUAGUGAGGUUUGCUAUUAUUUUGUGUGUGUUUUCUUAUGGAUAUUUUACUGAAUAACCUUUAGUACAUAGAAACUAAAAUGUCGAAGAGAUCUAAGCUUAUGGUCAAAUUGGCCAGAGAAUGUCUUUCUUCAGAAAAUCAUAAUGUGCUACGUGAAUUAAGACCUUGCAGUACAACAAACUUAGAAAACAGUUGUCUAGUAAAUGAAGAAUAUCAAUUGGAGUUCUUGCGAUUGCCUACAGAAGAUUUUCGGAUCGAGCUGUAUAUCGAUAAUAACGAGGAUAAUAAUAUCGAUUCUAAAAUGGAUUUAGAGAGAGAGUUCGAGAUUCCUGGUCAUGAAGUAAUUAAUCCUCAAGAAGCCAUCCCUGAUAAUCGCGUGUGUCAAAACCAUAACGUAGUACUACCAUCAUAUGACGAAUCGGACAACUACAACAUUACUAGAGAAAUUGUUGAAAUCAAUGAACCACAAAGUGACGAAUUAUCAAUACUAAAAGAAAAUAAUGAUAGAAAUGAAAUUAAAGGAUCGAUAGAACAGGAGCCAAAAGAACUACAAAUAUGGAAGAAAACAGAAAUAUAAUUGAAAAUGGUGAACAGAGAGAACAGGAGCCUGAAUGUAAGUUUAAAGUUUUAUUAUGUUUUAUUAAAAAGUAUUUAAGCUUCAGACAAUUUUAGAACUACAAGAAAAAUAUACAAAAAAAGGAACGAUUAGAAAAAGGAAAAAAUUCAAUGAAAUUAAAUCAGAAAGAUUAAAAGCGUAUAAAGAAAGCAUUAAAAAUAAACAUCAGGUGACAGAAUCCUGUGACAAAAAUAAAUGUAAAAAACAAUGUAUCUCUUCUAUAAACGAUGAAAGGCGAAAGGAAAUUAAUAAUAACUACUGGAUUUUAACCUGGAUUGAAAAGAAAACAUUUAUUUUAAAUUCGAUUUCGCGCACGAACGUAAGAAGAACUACUCUUGUAGAAAAUACUGUGAGACAAAAUUCCCUUAAAUAUUAUUAUAAAGACAGUAAAGGGGAAAAACAUUUUUUUUUCCUUACAACCCUAGGAUACAAAAGAAGUAAUGAUUGGGCCAUUCAAAGUUUUAAUUUGAAAAGAAAACUCUCUGAUGAGUAACCUGUCCCAACCCAAACUUGAUAGAUGAGGUCGUAGAAAAAAAUUGAUAGGAAAUUUAUCGAAGAACAUAUAGAAAGCUUCCACCCAACCAUUUCCCAUUAUCGGCGAGAGCACGCCCCAAAUCGCCGUGAGAUUAAUUGCAUAUAAUGAAAGUUUUGUCCCGAUAGGUAAAAAAAGGAAACAAUCAUCACCACAUGCUGUACUUUGGCAUGAAGCUGUGUCCGAUCAGUCUAAAGAAAACAUUAUAAGUUGUUUUUAUUCCUUUUUAUUGCAUAAUAGAGAUUAUAAAAACUUUGUUAUUUGGCUUGAUAAUUGUUCAUCCCAGAACAAAAACUGGGCUUUCUUUACUUUUCUUAUUUUUCUAGUUAAUUCAGAACAGAUUGCCGCAGAACAAAUUGUGCUAAAAUAUUUUGAGACUGGACACACCUUCAUGUCAGCGGAUAGCGUCCACCAUCAGGUGGAGCUUUCACUGAAACGUCAAAAAAAAACAACUUCCAAAAAACGAUUUCCAAGAUUGUGUGAGAGCAGUUGAAAUGGCCAAUUCUGGUCAUGUAACUGUAAAAUCAAUGAAUCCAACAGAUUUUUAUUUGUGGCCAGAUUUUGCAUCACAACAAAAGCUUAGAAAAACAAAUCCCCGUCCAUAUUUGAGUAAUAUUACACAAAUAAUUGCCAGAAAAGGCCAAUUUAAACUUCAGUAUAUUUCAUCAAAAGACAACAAUUUGCAUGAGCUAGAUUUUUUGCAAAAUAGUAAAAUUAAGAUCGGUAUAACCCAGUGGCGGCUUUUGGGGUAGAGCCACAGUGCCAUGGCUCUACCUAAUAAACGUUGAAAAUAAAAAAAAUAAUUUAUUUUUUAAAUUUUACUUCAGUCCAAAAAAAUAUCUGUAUAUUAAUAUUUAAUACCAAUUAUAAAAUUAAGAUACUGGAACGCAGCCAGUGCAAGAUUCCGCAAAUUUCGCUAAUGCGAAAUCAAAGACGUAGUUGUCGCGCCAGGCCCCGUAUUGAUGCGUGUUAUAUUAUAUUAUUAUUAUAUACAGGGUGUCCCAAAAGUAGACGUCCAAACGAAAGGAGGCGAUAGAGGAGGUCAGUAGCAAUCAAAAAAACCCCAUAUACAUUAUUCGAUUGUUGAUGGUUUAAAAGUUAUUACCGUUUUUCUGUUUUUUAUAAAAAUAGUGUUAUGAAUUCUGUAAAGAACUCAUAGAAAGAAUAUCCUCACGAAUUUUCGUGGUAUUUGUUAUGAAUGUUGCCUUAAAUAGUGUACUUUUUCAUAAGUAAUAGUUGCAUGCAAAACAAUUGCUUCUGUCACUACUUAGAAAAUGAUAAUUUUCCAAUAUGUUUAAGUUUUAUAUACACAUUUUUGCGUUUAAAUUGAUGCUGCUACAAAGCACGUGUUCGACAAAAAAUAAACAGCUACCAGAAAAAGUUGCUUUAUUUAUGCAGAUUCUUUACGGUCAAAUAUUUAUGAUAAGAAAACUAAACAUUCUUUUUCAAAUAAUUUUUAAGAUCAACAUACCGUUUCCCUGUCGCGAAUGUAGUUAGUUUCUUUCUGGUUUUUCAACAAAUUAGGCUUUAUUUCUUAUACUUAGACUGUUUGCUGUUUCUAUUUUCGGAGUUUUUCGUGUUUUAAAGCUAUUACAAGUAAACCUUCACAAAUUGCUUAUAGUUCUCAUGAAUAUGCAGAAAUGCACUAUGUUUAUGGGCUUUGUGAUGGAAAUGCUUGAUCUGCUACCUGAGAAUAUGAAAGACGCUUUCCCGGUCGAAAUCGCUAUCCUGACCAUAGAGUUUUCAUAAAUGUGCAUCAUUCCUGGUCAGCCACGGAGAGUAGGAAGACCUAGAAAUGAUAACGAUGAAGAUGAUAUUGUGGGAUUUGCAACAGAGAAUCGGGACGUUCGGGACUUCCCAAAUCCACAGUUCAUCGAGUCUUACAAAGAAAUCUGUUAUAUCUUUAUCAUGUGCAACGUGUUCAAGCACUUCUGCCCACUGAUUAUGAAAAAAGGAUUCAGUUUUGUCGGGAAAUGCUGCAGCAUAAUAGAAUAGGCUCUAACUUUUUUUAACAUUUUGUGGAGUGACGAAAGCAGUUUUAAAAGAACAGGGAUAUUUAAUAUACACAAUUUGCAUUAUUGGGACUAUGUUAAUCCUAAUAUAGUGAGAAAUGAUCGUUUUCUGCAUGAGUUUUCAGUCAAUCUAAAGAAGGCAAAUUAAUUGGACCAUUCGAGCUACCAGGAAGACUAAACGGCGAAAAUUAUUUACAUUUCUUGCAACAUAACUUGAACGAUUUACUUGAAGACGUAUCUAUAGCAACACGGCGAGACAUGUGGCUGCAACACGACGGAGCUCCUGCUCACUCUGCCCGAAUCGUAAAGCAACAUCUUGAUACUACUUUUAAUAAUCGAUGGAUUGGAAAGGGAGGAACCAUCCAAUGGCCGCCGCGUUCGCCUGACCUGAACCCCUUAGACUUUUUUUUAUGGGUAUAUUUCAAAGAACUUGUUUUUAUCAAUGAAAGCCAGACUGAAGUAGAACUGCGAAGAAAAAUAAGACAAGCGGCCAACGUUAUUACCAACAAUGACAGAGCCUUUCGGCGCAUAAAAAGAAAUUUCAUCCGCCGUUGCCGAAUGUGUAUUAAGGCAGGUGGUUCGCAUUUUGAACAUUUAUUGUGAUGUUAAAUAGCAAUAAAUUCUUUUUUUUUCAUUAUUUAGAAUUUGAUUAUUUAGUAUUACAAUAUUUUGAUUUUUGUCCAAAAACGAUUAGUUUAAUAAAAAUGUCAAUCAAAAAAGACUCGUAUCACUUAUCUGAAAGUAUUUCACCAUAUGAGAAUCUUCAUUAAAUAAGUAACUUUUCCUGAUAAUUUUUAACUUUUUGUAGUAAUUUUUUUUCUGCCAGGUUCACUUAAAAGGCUUAAAUCAGGUUCACUUAAAUAAUUUUUAAAUAAAAAUUAAACAUAUUGAGAAAUUAUUUUUUUCUUACUAGUAAAAGAAACAAUUAUGCAUCCAAAUCAUAUUUAUGAAAGGGUGCACUCCUUAGGGUCACACUCGCACUAAAUACUAAGUAAAUAAAUUAUGAUAUUUUUGUAAUAAAUUUUGUGCAUGAUGCAUGAAGCGAUUUUUACAAAAAUGAGAAAAAUGGAAAUAACUUUUAAACCAUCAACAAUCGGAUAAUAGUAUAUAGAGUUUUUUUGAUUACAAAUGAUCUCCUCUAUCACCUCCUCUCGUUUGGACGUCUACUUGGGACACCCUGUAUACAUCGAAUAAUCACAGCAAAUGUCCUUGAAACAAUGGGGUAAAGCUACGGCAAAUUAAAUAAUUUUGGGCCGGGCUCCAAACCAAUAGAAUCUUUUCUAGCAAAACGUGCGUGAUAUUGUUGUUUUGAUUAUUCAUCAGGCGUUCGCGGUUCCGUAGAGAUCUCUUAUUUUAUUUGGCUGGCGUUUUAAGCUUUGUUGGUGUUUAUAAUUUUUAUUGAAUAUUAAAAACAAUGAAUAAAAUUAGUUUUUGAAAAGCAACUCCAUUUUAUCAUUGGAACAAAAAGUGGAAAUAAAGGAGUUAGGGCGACCGUUGCCCGAUUUAAAUAUAGAAAUUUUUUUUCAGUUAUUAUAAUUUAUAAAAACAAUAAAAUUACUUAUUUGUGUACCUUACUGUAAAUAUGGAAAACUGUAUGUUGCCUGUGACCUGAAGUAUUGACAAUUCCAUGUAGUUUUUGUAAGUUCAUUUCCUUAAAUUUCAAAAUUUUUAAAAUGUAUAUUUUUAUCUACAAAAAAAAAAUAGAAAACUUAUUGCGUUAUAAUUUUGAUAAUAAAAUGUAAUAAUCUCGUUCGGUCAUGAUAAAAUUAGAUCAAGGUUUGGCUCUACCUCCCUGAACUGUCACAAGCCGCCACUGGUAUAACCAGCUUUUCAAAAAGAACCAAGAGGCGUGACAAAAGAAAAAUAUAUUAAAAAAUUUAAAGAGUAUAAUUCCAAAAGAGCGUUUUCACUCCUGGGAAAAUCCACCUUGUGAUAGAUAAAUUUAAGAUUUUGACAUCUUUCAAAAUCAUUCUUUUUUGUACCAUAAAGGUGUGUUUUUUUGUUAAAAUAUUGAUUUGUAAUAUUAUUUGUAAUACUGAAAUGUG